rnacentral:tRNA from 1 species
GUCCUUGUAGCUUAAUAUCAAAGCAUAGCACUGAAGAUGCUAAGAUGGUCACCACUUUCCCAAGGACA